AAGAGAAUCUGCAGGGCCGCUUCAUCAGCUCGCUGUUAGCUGCCCUGCCUGCUUUUUGUAGCUUUAUUAGCCAUCAGGUUGCCGUUAAACGCUCGUUUAAAGCUUAGUAUUAAUUGUUAGGCUAAUGCUAGUUUAAAACGAGACUUUCCAGGCUGCCCCAGCUCUUUGGGUACCGUUACUCAAACAGAUGGGACUCACUGGACCUCAACCACCAACAGCUGAAGCUCAAAUCGGAGGCAUUUCUUCCAGAGCAGCGGAGGAAGCUAAAGGAAGAGACGCCAUGUUGGAUCAGACGGUUGAGCUCCCAGUAUCAGGCCGCAGGACCUUCACUGGUUCCACAGUCAGAGGUGAUCAGUGCACAGAGGCGGGCCGACCCUCCAGCUGGAACACAGCAGCUUUAAUAUCCCUGCUGGUAAACACUGGUUAUCUCAAGCACACAUUGAACUGAGCUAUGAUCCACAGUGGGAGCGCAAGCUGCAAACUUUCCCAAGGAUACCAUGCAGCCACAUGCCAGUGCUGCCCUUUGUCAGCCCCCACCAGCGGGGGCGCUGUCUCUAAGCACCGAGCUGAACUCAGAGCGCCUGAAGGCAUCACUCCAGGUGGACAGGUGGGACUGUCGUUACCCUUCUCCUCAUGCUGGUCUCCGUUGGAC